rnacentral:rasiRNA from 1 species
UACUUUCGCAUCACUGCCCGGGUCCC